ensembl:lncRNA
GUCAGUAUCGGAGGCUGUUGAGUAGGAAGAAGACAAAGUUCCUUGAACAAGCUCAGGGCAGCUAGAUGGUGGCAGCUUUUGUUCUCCGGGUUGGUCUGCUGGCUGCUGGCUCCUCUGGCCAUGGGCCAGGUGCCCCCUUAGCAGCCUUUGCAAUUCAAAGAAGUCAAGGAACCAGGAACUGGCUGUGCUGGACUCAGAGAGGAUCCAUUAUGUAGACUUCCCCUUCUCUCUCUGUUGGCCUUCCUAUGGAUGUGGACAGAUGACCCAGGCUGGCCAGCAAGCAUUCUCUGUCUCCUGAGCAAGAAAGAAAGCCGCAGUGCAAUGAACAGAAGACAAUGGACCCAAUGACCCGGGCUACCAGACGCCAGCCUAUGACUGUGUUCAAAACAAUGCAAGAAGGAGAAGAAUACACGAUGCUUACGACUUCGUCCCUUAUCACCCGCCUCUGAUUGUGCGCCCUCCUCUUUUUCAAAAAGACAGACGGCAGGAGGAGUGCCUUGAAAUAGACUCCUGUAAGAGAGAGACCUGAGGCAGAAAUGUCUUACCUUCCUGCUAAAUCCUCCUCUGCUCAUACUCACCAAUGUCAUUUCACAGAAGAGAGUCAGGAAACAUCUCACGUGAGGAAGAUGCACUCUGCAUGUCAAUAUGGUUCAAAGCCCAAGAAGAACCUGGAAGAUAAGGACAUUCGUGAAAGAAAAAAAAAGAAAAUGUGCUAGGAAGAAAUGUACUCCUACUGUUUCACUCUGCAUUUGAAAGAAUUUAUGCACCGCAAAAGAAUGCCUGUGAAAAAACUCACGAAAUCAAUAGACAACUUCACAGUUACAUGCUUAUCACCACGUUCCACUCCACACUAUUUCACAUAUGGAAUCCUAGUGGUUUCCAGAACAUAGAGCUAUCUUCUCGUAUUUUCAGAGGACUUCAGUUUUCAAACGCUGUCUUGUCUGGUCACCAAAACAAUCCUGGAAGUUAAG